AGAAGUGUUGGGGUUUUCUGCUCCCAGAACUUCAUUGUUAAAGAAAGGAGGAGGAAUUUGUCCUUCCCUCCACUUGGCAAGCAAUGCGCAUGUUCCUUUCUGUAAACAGCAGACUAAUUUGAGCAGUGAGCAGCCCCCACUGGCUUCUGGCUUUUACUAACUGUAGGCUGAGGGCUCAGUGCAACAAAAACUUGAGUUGCCCACAGAACAGCUACUCUGAUUCAGAUGAAAGCUGGGGAGGACUUCGGUCCUUCUUGGAAAAUACUUGUGCUUUUUUGUUGAUUGUUCUUGUUCCCAACAGAGACAGAAGUGAACUAAUCUCCCAAACUGGGAUGCUCAGAGAUGUCCAAAGUGAGAUAGGACUGGCAAGAAUACAAUACACAGAUUAAUAAGGAAGUCAUUAAGGGAUAGAAAAGCUCUGAUGUGAUGGAGUGGCUUUUAGUUUGAAGAAAAAUAGGAACAUUUACUUUUGGCUCAGGAAGAGACCACAAGAUGCACUGUUUGUUACUGAAGUGAUAGUACUUUUGCCCUGGGCACCUUACUUCAGAGGAAAGAUGCUUCCCAAAACAGUUUUCAGCCACUGAUCUUUCAGCUCCGUGAUUUGGAGUGGCAGAGUUGCACAUGAAGCAUGUAGGAUGAGGUGCCACGUGGCAACAGCUUUCUCUUCUGGCUGUGCUGAGGAGCUCUCAGCACACUGUACUCCCACCUGCCAUUGCAGCAGCUCAUGUGUGGAGGCACCUCUGGAGAACACCAGGUCCAAACCCCAGCCCAAAGCAGCGCCUCCUGGAACUACACAGGGCCAUGGCUGAGUGAGAUCACAAUGGUGGCUGAGAAAUCUUUGUUGCUCCCUUUUCUCCCAUCAGCAACACUCAUAUCCAGGCUGAAUAAAUCCUUCAACAGCAUUCUUUGCUUGUGGCCGUUUGAUGUGCUUCCAAGCAGCUACAAACAUGGGAGACACCCAAACUGCUUAGUGCCAGAAAGGCUGAAACUGCACUGCCAUGGGAGCCUGAACGGCAGAGGGGCCACCUGGCAGUGCCCUGCAGGACCCAAGGUGCUCACCCACCCACUACGCAAGAAGCUCCUCAUGUCCUUCCGCUCUGCGGUGGGCAGCACCUGGAGUGCCUUUCCUAGCUCUGAUUCUAUUCUUCUGCUCCAAAGCAACAAGCCAAACUCCCCACCAGCAUUCAACCUCCGUGCCAAAAAGAAAAUAACAAGAGUAAAAGCACUGCACAACAGAAACACAUAGGACAGUGAAGAGGCUGGGAUUGCUGGGGAGUCCAGCAUAGUCGCGUCGGGGUGCUCAGGUCGGUGCUGCUGCAGCAUUCAUCCAGGCCAAUGGGGAAGGAACCACUUUUUGAAAGUCAGAAGAUGCAAAGCAGACCUUCCACAAGGAUUCCCCAAGGAGCAGAGAAUUUGAGGAUCACUGCGAAGGGCAUCAUUGCUCCUUGCUGUUCAUCCCAAACUGUCUUCAUUCUCUCACCCUGUGUAUUCCUGCACAACGGGACUGAGGGAAGUGCAUGAGAUCUAUUGCUGAACUGUGGUGUGGAUAGACUUUGUCUUCCUCAGCUAGCAUUCUGUCACCUUUCAAGAGUGAAAAAUUCAUUUUUAAAACAAAAAUCCCAAGUAAGAAACCUCACAUAGUUGCAGGAAACCACCACAGAGGUAUACAAUAUCCAGCGGAAGACCUUGCUGAAAACUGAACAGAUUACUCUUGUUAUAUGUGGUUAAACUGGGCCAUUAAUGCUAAAACAGUUCAAAGCACAAAAUAAAUUCUGAUUUUCUCCUGUCAAAGUUGGUGGUUUGGUGUUCACACAUUCUAGGCUCCGGUUAAAUGAUUUACUGUACAAUUUAAUGCCUUUCAGCUGUCACUCGCAAAAAGGAUCCCUUGAAUGAUCUGCCAGUGAAUGAAGGCAGCACUUGCCCAGGGUGAAGUGUGGCCAGGGCUGCAGGACCCAACUUGCCAAGAUACUCAGGAACAAUCACGUAAGCCACUGUGACCCAUGUGUGGUACCCAGCGAAGUGAAGGCCACCUUGCUGUGAUCACAUCUGCAAAACCACUUCAUUUAAAGCAUACUGAGACGUUCACUCUGCUGUGGAACUUUUACGAGCAACUGCCUUUACAACAGCUCGCACCAUAGGCACGCUGCUAUUCUUUGUCCUUCUUUUGAACUCUUCUCUGCUCCCGGUCUUCCAGCGGUGUGAUUUUUUGAAGUUUUCCUUCACAAUAGCUUCUCAAAAUCCCAGUUCUCACAUAUCAACACAAAUAGGAGAAACAGUUGCCAUGGGACAGUGAAAAACAUAUUUCAGGAGCUCAGGAGCAAAGAAGGAAAUAAAAAAGGCACUGGAUUUCAGCAGUUACGUGUUGUAGUGUUUGACGUAGCUCUGAGUUCUUUGCUUUGUCUCUAGCUGCAGUGGUACUGUGCCUCUCAUGUUCAGCAGUGGGUGCACUCAGCAGUGGGUGCAGCUCUUAGCAGUGACCUCAUGGGGACACAGCAGUGCCCAGCACUGCAGCCAUGUUCUGUGGAACAGAGAGAAUACUGGUGUCACCUAAAACU
ensembl:lncRNA